rnacentral:rRNA from 1 species
CUAUACUGCAAGUCGAACGAACUCUGGUAUUGAUUGGUGCUUGCAUCAUGAUUUACAUUUGAGUGAGUGGCGAACUGGUGAGUAACACGUGGGAAACCUGCCCAGAAGCGGGGGAUAACACCUGGCAACAGAUGCUAAUACCGCAUAACAACUUGGACCGCAUGGUCCGAGUUUGAAAGAUGGCUUCGGCUAUCACUUUUGGAUGGUCCCGCGGCGUAUUAGCUAGAUGGUGAGGUAACGGCUCACCAUGGCAAUGAUACGUAGCCGACCUGAGAGGGUAAUCGGCCACAUUGGGACUGAGACACGGCCCAAACUCCUACGGGAGGCAGCAGUAGGGAAUCUUCCACAAUGGACGAAAGUCUGAUGGAGCAACGCCGCGUGAGUGAAGAAGGGUUUCGGCUCGUAAAACUCUGUUGUUAAAGAAGAACAUAUCUGAGAGUAACUGUUCAGGUAUUGACGGUAUUUAACCAGAAAGCCACGGCUAACUACGUGCCAGCAGCCGCGGUAAUACGUAGGUGGCAAGCGUUGUCCGGAUUUAUUGGGCGUAAAGCGAGCGCAGGCGGUUUUUUAAGUCUGAUGUGAAAGCCUUCGGCUCAACCGAAGAAGUGCAUCGGAAACUGGGAAACUUGAGUGCAGAAGAGGACAGUGGAACUCCAUGUGUAGCGGUGAAAUGCGUAGAUAUAUGGAAGAACACCAGUGGCGAAGGCGGCUGUCUGGUCUGUAACUGACGCUGAGGCUCGAAAGUAUGGGUAGCAAACAGGAUUAGAUACCCUGGUAGUCCAUACCGUAAACGAUGAAUGCUAAGUGUUGGAGGGUUUCCGCCCUUCAGUGCUGCAGCUAACGCAUUAAGCAUUCCGCCUGGGGAGUACGGCCGCAAGGCUGAAACUCAAAGGAAUUGACGGGGGCCCGCACAAGC